AGUGAACGCUGGCGGUAGGCCUAACACAUGCAAGUCGAACGGCAGCACAGUAAGAGCUUGCUCUUACGGGUGGCGAGUGGCGGACGGGUGAGGAAUACAUCGGAAUCUACUUUUUCGUGGGGGAUAACGUAGGGAAACUUACGCUAAUACCGCAUACGACCUACGGGUGAAAGCAGGGGAUCUUCGGACCUUGCGCGAUUGAAUGAGCCGAUGUCGGAUUAGCUAGUUGGCGGGGUAAAGGCCCACCAAGGCGACGAUCCGUAGCUGGUCUGAGAGGAUGAUCAGCCACACUGGAACUGGGACACGGUCCAGACUCCUACGGGAGGCAACAGUGGGGAAUAUUGGACAAUGGGCGCAAGCCUGAUCCAGCCAUACCGCGUGGGUGAAGAAGGCCUUCGGGUUGUAAAACCCUUUUGUUGGGAAAGAAAAGCAGCAGGUUAAUACCCCGCUGUUCUGACGGUACCCAAAGGAUAAGCACCGGCUAACUUCGUG
rnacentral:rRNA from 1 species